rnacentral:rRNA from 1 species
UGGGGAAUUUUGGACAAUGGGCGCAAGCCUGAUCCAGCCAUGCCGCGUGCGGGAAGAAGGCCUUCGGGUUGUAAACCGCUUUUGUCAGGGAAGAAACGCUCUGGGCUAAUACCCUGGGGUAAUGACGGUACCUGAAGAAUAAGCACCGGCUAACUACGUGCCAGCAGCCGCGGUAAUACGUAGGGUGCAAGCGUUAAUCGGAAUUACUGGGCGUAAAGCGUGCGCAGGCGGUCAUGCAAGACAGAUGUGAAAUCCCCGGGCUCAACCUGGGAACUGCAUUUGUGACUGUAUAGCUAGAGUACGGUAGAGGGGGAUGGAAUUCCGCGUGUAGCAGUGAAAUGCGUAGAUAUGCGGAGGAACACCGAUGGCGAAGGCAAUCCCCUGGACCUGUACUGACGCUCAUGCACGAAAGCGUGGGGAGCAAACAGGAUUAGAUACCCCCGUAGUCCCUGAGCGGGCUGGCAAGGCGCAU